CCUACGGGAGGCAGCAGUGGGGAAUAUUGCACAAUGGGGGAAACCCUGAUGCAGCGACGCCGCGUGAGUGAAGAAGUAUUUCGGUAUGUAAAGCUCUAUCAGCAGGGAAGAAACCCACCCUCCGGGGUGGCUGACGGUACCUGACUAAAAAGCCCCGGCUAACUACGUGCCAGCAGCCGCGGUAAUACAUAGGGGGCAAGCGUUAUCCGGAUUUACUGGGUGUAAAGGGAGCGUAGGUGGCAAGGCAAGUCAGAUGUGAAAACCCGGGGCCCAACCCCGGGAGUGCAUUUGAAACUGUCUGGCUAGAGUGCAGGAGAGGUAAGUGGAAUUCCUAGUGUAGCGGUGAAAUGCAUAGAUAUUAGGAGGAACACCAGUGGCGAAGGCGGCUUACUGGACUGUAACUGACGCUGAGGCUCGAAAGCGUGGGGAGCAAACAGGAUUAGAUACCCUGGUAGUC
rnacentral:rRNA from 1 species